rnacentral:rRNA from 1 species
GACGAACGCUGGCGGCGUGCCUGACACAUGCAAGUCGGACGGUUCUUGUACCUUCAAGCUUGCUUGUUGGUGCAAGGAUAGUGGCGGACGGGUGAGUAACGCGUGAACAUCUACCCAUUGGAGGGGGACAACCCGUCGAAAGGCGGGCUAAUACCGCGUAAGCCGCGAGGUGAGAGGCUGCCUAUUGGUGGCCGCCGAUGGAUGGGUUCGCGUCCUAUCAGCUGGUUGGUGGGGUAACGGCCUACCAAGGCGAAGACGGGUAGCCGGUCUGAGAGGAUGGCCGGCCACACUGGAACUGAGACACGGUCCAGACUCCUACGGGAGGCAGCAGUGAGGAAUAUUGGUCAAUGGGCGCAAGCCUGAACCAGCCAUCCCGCGUGCAGGAAGACGGCCCUAUGGGUUGUAAACUGCUUUUCCAGGAGAGAACUUACGCACGUGUUGCGUGACUGACGGUACCCUGGGAAUAAGCAUCGGCUAACUCCGUGCCAGCAGCCGCGGU